rnacentral:misc_RNA from 1 species
GAAAUGCGAUAAGUAGUGUGAAUUGCAGAAUUCAGUGAAUCAUCGAAUCUUUGAACGCACAUUGCGCCCCUUGGUAUUCCAUGGGGCAUGCCUGUUCGAGCGUCAUUUGUACCCUCAAGCUCUGCUUGGUGUUGGGUGUUUGUCCCGCUUCUCGCGUGGACUCGCCUUAAAACAAUUGGCAGCCGGCAUAUUGGCCUGGAGCGCAGCACAUUUUGCGCCUCUUGUCAUGAUUGUUGGCAUCCAUCAAGACCAUUUUUUGCUCUUGACCUCGGAUCAGGUAGGGAUACCCGCUGAACUUAA